rnacentral:rRNA from 1 species
UACGGAGGGGGCUAGCGCUGUUCGGAAUUACUGGGCGUAAAGCGCACGUAGGCGGCUUUGUAAGUUAGAGGUGAAAGCCUGGAGCUCAACUCCAGAACUGCCUUUAAGACUGCAUCGCUUGAAUCCAGGAGAGGUGAGUGGAAUUCCGAGUGUAGAGGUGAAAUUCGUAGAUAUUCGGAAGAACACCAGUGGCGAAGGCGGCUCACUGGACUGGUAUUGACGCUGAGGUGCGAAAGCGUGGGGAGCAAACAGG